GCACUGGGGGGGGCAUAGGGGAGCUGAUAGAGGGGCUGCCAGCUGUGGAAAAGCAGGCAGCCAAACGACAUUAGAGUGAAGCAUUGCACAACUUUAAAUGGAGCAUGUUCUGUAAUUUAGCAGGGACAUAAGAUCGAAACAACGGUAAGCGAGAGGCUAUUAAGUGGGGAGUUACUGUACUGCCUUUCAGAAAAUACAGGGGUAGAAUAUUUAAAAUAUAUAUAUAUCAUACAAGUCCAAAAAAGUUGUGGUCAAACUGAAGAACUGUAAGUUUAGGAAAGAAUUCAGCUUAUCUUGAUGUUAAAUGUAUUUUGCAUUCCUGGGUCACCCCUUUGACACACAGAUGGUGUUAUCUGUACUCUACUAUCAAGAAAACAGUAUCAUAUGGCAGAAAUACGGACAAGGAACAAGACUAAAUUACUUCGUCCACCAAUCCUGGACCAAGUACCACAAAAAUUUAGAGAUGCAAUAACGAGUGAUUUAUGAUUUCAAAUUCAGACUAUACUAAUUUGGCUCAAACACUGACAAUACUAGACUCAGAUUAAUUUUUAAAAACUUAGGCCUCAAACAAUAAUAAUCCACUAUGUCCUAAUUUGAAGGGCUACUCAGUCUUUACCAUUGCACCGCUGGAUUCUGGAAGCUUUCGCUAUUUCCUUAAAACCUUGCCUUGCAUCUUACUGGUUAUGGAAAAACUUCUCAAUCACUCUCAAAUUAUUGCAACACCUCAUUUGAACACUGCUCUCUUUCCCCACAUUUUGGGGGAGGAGGAAGAAAUGUGUAAUUGCUAAUUGAGGAAGAAAGCAUUUAACUGGUAAUGGACAAUGAUGUUUUCUGCUUUCUACGUAUGUACCUGCUGUCUAUUAAAGAUUAACUAAAAUAUAUGUUAAAACAAUGGACUGGUCUUUGUAUUCAUUGUUUCAGUCCCAAAUUACACUGAUAUUCAAUAAAAAAUAUAUAUCUGCUAAAGAAAUGGUGGUGCUUUCCCUCAUUUGGAGCACAUGCAUUUAAGCUAUGCUGAACUUCUUGCAUGUAUAGGGGCAGAGAAUGCAUUUGUCUCAAUGACCCCAGGAGUUCCUUCCAUCUCUCACAUACAGUAGAACCUCAGAGUUCCUGACACCUUGAAAAAGGAGGUUGUUCGUAACUCUGAAGCUCAGGCUCCAGCAGUUCACAGUCCGGGCCAGGUUCCAGAGGCAGCUAGUCAGCUUUGGGGAGGGAUGUGGGUGAAAACGGUGCCCCGCUUCCUGGCUGGGGGAGGGGUGUGUGUGAAAACAGUACCCAUGGCUUACAGGAAAGCAGCGCCGACUCCAAUGCUGCACCUGCUCCGGCUGCCUUGGGCUGGCAGUGGGGGCUCACAGCUUUGCCUGUGAAACGCCUAGCUCUGCUGCCAUUGUGGCCUUCAGGGUCUCCCUCUCCACACCUGAGCCAAAUAAGGAGGAGAAAGAAGAGGACUCGGGAUGACAUGGUCCUACAAGCAAAUGCUGCAUCUGACUAAGCACAGGGCCUGGAGGAUGGACACUGUAGACAGCCUGGAGAAGGAAAGAGUAGUGAGGAGAAAGACCCAGGAGUCCGAGCAGGAACAGGAGAGGCAGACAAACCAAGACAUAAUGGGGCUUCUCAGGCAGAAACACAGAUGUUGCAGACUCUGGUGGACAUGCAGGUUCAACAAUCCUGGGCUUGCCUUCCUCUGCAGCCCAUUGAGAACUCCACCUCGGGAUCACACCCCCUAAACCCUCCCCAAAUUCUACAUGGCAUCAAGGGUUGCUGCACAACCCCUACCACUCCACCCCAGGGGACAUCAAAGACAAUCACAACUUCACAUACACUGCCCUGUGACAGCCACAGUUGGUGUAUGUGUAGCUGAAAUGGACAUGAAUGUUCUUUCCCCGUCAUAAGUUCUGUUCUAUUAGGUUUUUAAAUGUAUUUGUUCUAAAAUUGCCCUUUUUUGCUCUGAUUGUGUUACAGAAUAAAAUUCUAUUUGGAACAUAA